rnacentral:lncRNA from 10 species
CAAGCUAGGAAAAAGAAUCAUCUUUAAAAGUAUGUCAUCAGCACUCAAGACCUUUAAUGAGCCAGCGGAAUUGGUCUCCUGGUCCUCUCCUCACUCCACAGAGACUGAAAACGUCCUCCAUUCUGACCCUCGCCAAGCAUUUCAGAAAAGGUAGACAGGCCUGCAGAGAAAGCAGAUGGCUCAUCGCACAUCACACAGAACCAGACAGAGGACGAGAGUCCGCAUGCUGAACCACUUAAAUUCACAUGGCGGCUAAGAAGACA